rnacentral:rRNA from 1 species
CAGUAGCCGCGGUAACACAGAGGGUGCAAGCGUUAAUCGGAAUUACUGGGCGUAAAGCGCGCGUAGGUGGUUUGUUAAGUUGGAUGUGAAAUCCCUGAGCUUAACUUAGGAAUUGCAUUCGAUACUGGGAAGCUAGAGUAUGGGAGAGGAUGGUAGAAUUCCUGGUGUAGCGGUGGAAUGCGCAGAUAUCAGGAGGAACACCGAUGGCGAAGGCAGAUCUCUGGGCCGUAACUGACGCUGAGGAGCGAAAGCAUGGGGAGCGAACAGGAUUAGAUACCCCAGUAGUCCCUGUCUCUUAUAA